rnacentral:rRNA from 1 species
CCUACGGGAGGCAGCAGUGGGGAAUAUUGGGCAAUGGGCGCAAGCCUGACCCAGCAACGCCGCGUGAAGGAAGAAGGCUUUCGGGUUGUAAACUUCUUUUGUCAGGGAAGAGUAGAAGACGGUACCUGACGAAUAAGCCACGGCUAACUACGUGCCAGCAGCCGCGGUAAUACGUAGGUGGCAAGCGUUGUCCGGAUUUACUGGGUGUAAAGGGCGUGUAGCCGGGUUGACAAGUCAGAUGUGAAAUCCUGCGGCUUAACCGCAGAACUGCAUUUGAAACUGUUGGUCUUGAGUACUGGAGAGGCGGACGGAAUUCCUAGUGUAGCGGUGAAAUGCGUAGAUAUUAGGAGGAACACCAGUGGCGAAGGCGGUCUGCUGGACAGCAACUGACAGUGAGGCGCGAAAGCGUGGGGAGCAAACAGGAUUAGAUACCCGAGUAGUC